GGAGGAUAUUGCUAAAUGGUCGGCAACUAGUCUUGAAAACUAGGGUGGUCCUUGGGCUAGAGGUUCGAGUCCUCUAUCCUCCG
rnacentral:tRNA from 1 species